CUCCUACGGGAGGCAGCAGUGAGGAAUAUUGGUCAAUGGGCGGAAGCUGAACCAGCCAAGUAGCGUGCAGGAAGACGGCCCUAUGGGUUGUAAACUGCUUUUAAGCGGGGAUAAAGUCAGGGACGUGUCCCUGUUUGCAGGUACCGCUUGAAUAAGGACCGGCUAAUUCCGUGCCAGCAGCCGCGGUAAUACGGAAGGUCCGGGCGUUAUCCGGAUUUAUUGGGUUUAAAGGGAGCGUAGGCGGGACUCCAAGUCAGCUGUGAAAUGCCGUGGCUCAACCAUGGCACUGCGGCGCGAACUGGAGGGCUUGAGUGCGCGGAAGGCAGGCGGAACUCGUGGUGUAGCGGUGAAAUGCUUAGAUAUCACGAAGAACUCCGAUUGCGAAGGCAGCCUGCCGCAGCGCAACUGACGCUGAGGCUCGAAAGCGCGGGUAUCGAACAGGAUUAGAUACCCUGGUAGUCCGCGCGGUAAACGAUGGAUGCCCGCCGUGGGGGAGUUAUUUUCCGCGGCCAAGCGAAAGCGUGUAAGCAUCCCACCUGGGGAGUACGCCGGCAACGGUGAAACUCAAAGGAAUUGACGGGGGCCCGCACAAGCGGAGGAACAUGUGGUUUAAUUCGAUGAUACGCGAGGAAGCUUAGGGGGGCUUGAAUUGCAGGAGAACGAUCGAGAGAUGGUGAGAGCCUUCGGGGCUCCUGUGAAGGUGCUGCAUGGUUGUCGUCAGCUCGUGCCGUGAGGUGUCGGCUCAAGUGCCAUAACGAGCGCAACCCCCGCCCGCAGUUGCCAUCGGGUGAUGCCGGGCACUCUGCGGGGACUGCCGCCGCAAGGUGCGAGGAAGGCGGGGACGACGUCAAAUCAGCACGGCCCUUACGUCCGGGGCUACACACGUGUUACAAUGGGGUGUACAGAGUGUUGUGCCCGCGCAAGCGGGUUCGAAUCAUGAAAGCACCCCUCAGUUCGGACUGGGGUCUGCAACCCGACCCCACGAAGCUGGAUUCGCUAGUAAUCGCGCAUCAGCCAUGGCGCGGUGAAUACGUUCCCGGGUCUUGUACACACCGC
rnacentral:rRNA from 1 species